rnacentral:misc_RNA from 1 species
UUGUAUUAAUAGAGGUACAAGGGCUGUAGCUAACUUUUCAAGUUGUGCACGCCUGAAUGCCUCUUAUACACCCAAUCUUACCCCUUUGUGCAUCACCACGUGGGUCCCUUUCUUUUGGUUUAUUCUGAAAGGGGGGGCUUGCGUUUUUAACAUAGACACCCCUUUGAAUUCAGUAUAGAAUGUCUUUAAUAUGUGAUUAAUA